UUUAUACUCCCUCCGUCCGAAAAUACUUGUCAUCAAAAUGGAUAAAAAGAAAUGUAUCUCAAACUAAAAUAUGUCUAGAUACAUCCCCUUUUAUUCAUUUUGAUGACAAGUAUUUCCGGACGGAGGGAGUAUGUA
rnacentral:pre_miRNA from 1 species